AAUAAGUGCAGUUUUAGCGCUGUUCAUGUCUGUUUGACCGUUCAUCUUAUUUGAAAAAAAUGUAUAAUUAGUAUUUUUAUUGUUAUUACAUGAUAAAACAUAGGUAAUACUUUAUGUGUGACUAUUUUUUUUAUUUUUUUCAUAAAUUUUUCAAAUAAGACGAACGGUCAAAACGCUAAACACGGAUAUUUAUGACUGUAUUUAUU
rfam:Oryza nivara chromosome 3, whole genome shotgun sequence.